UGAGUACGAGACGCUAAGGCGUCGAAGUAGUGGAUGUCAUACUUCCAAGAAAAGCUUGCACUGUCAUAAAUAAAAACGCCUGUACCAUAACCGACACAGGUGGGUAGGUAGAGUAUACUAAGGGGCGCGAGAUAACUCUCUCUAAGGAACUCGGCAAAAUAACUCCGUAACUUCGGGAGAAGGAGUGCCUUAUUCGUAAGGCUGCAAUAACAAGAUCCAAGCAACUGUUUAUCAAAAACACAGGUCUCCGCUAAGUCGUUAGACGAUGUAUGGGGGCUGACGCCUGCCCAGUGCCAGAAGGUUAAAGAAGUCGGUUAGCAUUAGCGAAGCUGGUAACUGAAGCCCUGGUGAACGGCGGCCGUAACAAUAACGGUCCUAAGGUAGCGAAAUUCCUUGUCGGGUAAGUUCCGACCCGCACGAAAGGCGUAAUGAUUUGGAUACUGUCUCGGAGAGGGGCUCGGUGAAAUAGACUUGUCUGUGAAGAUGCGGACUACCUGCACCAGGACAGAAAGACCCUAUGAAGCUUUACUGUAACUUGAAAUUGAAAUUGGACUUUAUUCGCGCAGUAUAGGUGGGAGGUGUUGAUUAUAAUCUUGCGGGAUUAUUGGAGCCAUCAGUGAGAUACCACUCUUGUAAUGUUAGAUUUCUAACUUUGAAUCAUUAUCUGGUCAAAGAACAGUUUCAGGCGGGCAGUUUGACUGGGGCGGUCGCCUCCUAAAUGGUAACGGAGGCGUACAAAGGUUUCCUCUGAACGGGUAGAAAUCGUAUCUAGAGUGUAAAGGCAUAAGGAAGCUUGACUGUGAGACCUACAAGUCGAGCAGGGACGAAAGUCGGUCUUAGUGAUCUGACGGUACUGAGUGGAAAGGCCGUCACUCAACGGAUAAAAGUUACUCUAGGAUAACAGGCUGAUCUCCCCCAAGAGUUCACAUCGACGGGGAGGUUUGGCACCUCGAUGUCGGCUCAUCGCAUCCUGGGGCGGUAGUACGUCCCAAGGGUUGGGCUGUUCGCCCAUGAAAGCGGUACGCGAGCUGGGUUCAGAACGUCGUGAGACAGUUCGGUCCAUAUCCGGUGUAGGCGUUAGAAUAUUGAGAGGAGCCUUCUUUAGUACGAGAGGACCGAGAAGGACAUACCUCUGGUGUACCAGUUAUCGUGCCAACGGUAAACGCUGGGUAGCUAUGUAUGGAGUGGAUAACCGCUGAAAGCAUCUAAGUGGGAAGCCCACCUCAAGAUAAGUAUUCUCAUC
rnacentral:rRNA from 1 species